GACAGAGGUGCCAAGCGUUAGGCGGAAUCACUGGGCUUAAAGCGUGUGUAGGCGGAUCGUUAAGUACCUUGUGAAAUCCCACGGCUCAACCGUGGAACUGCUGGGUAUACUGGCGAUCUUGAGCCACCUAGGGGCGAGCGGAACAAGCGGUGGAGCGGUGAAAUGCGUAGAUAUCGCUUGGAACGCCAAUGGUGAAAACAGCUCGCUGGGGGUGUGCUGACGCUGAGGCACGAAAGUGUGGGGAUCAAACAGG
rnacentral:rRNA from 1 species